rnacentral:rRNA from 1 species
CUACGGGUUGCUCCAGGCGAGAAAACUUUGCAAUGUGCGAAAGCACGACAAGGUUAAUCCGAGUGGUUUCUGCUAAAGGAACCUUUUGUCGGUCCUAGAAACACCGAUGAAUAAGGGGUGGGCAAGUUCUGGUGUCAGCCGCCGCGGUAAAACCAGCACCUCAAGUGGUAGGUUGAUUAUUGGGCCUAAAGCAUCCGUAGCCGGCUCUGUAAGUUUUCGGUUAAAUCUGUAUGCUCAACAUACAGGCUGCCGGGAAUACUGCAUAGCUAGGGAGUGGGAGAGGUAGACGGUACUCGGUAGGAAGGGGUAAAAUCCUUUGAUCUAUUGAUGACCACCUGUGGCGAAGGCGGUCUACCAGAACACGUCCGACGGUGAGGGAUGAAAGCUGGGGGAGCAAACCGGAUUAGAUACCCUAGUAGUC